GCCUGCGUGAUGGAAUGGUAGACAUAACAGACUUAAAAUCUGUGGCAGUUAAAUGCGUAGCGGUUCAAGUCCGCUCGCGGGUACCA
rnacentral:tRNA from 1 species